GACGAACGCUGGCGGCGUGCUUAACACAUGCAAGUCGAACGGAAAGGCCCUGCUUUUGUGGGGUGCUCGAGUGGCGAACGGGUGAGUAACACGUGAGUAACCUGCCCUUGACUUUGGGAUAACUUCAGGAAACUGGGGCUAAUACCGGAUAGGAGCUCCUGCUGCAUGGUGGGGGUUGGAAAGUUUCGGCGGUUGGGGAUGGACUCGCGGCUUAUCAGCUUGUUGGUGGGGUAGUGGCUUACCAAGGCUUUGACGGGUAGCCGGCCUGAGAGGGUGACCGGCCACAUUGGGACUGAGAUACGGCCCAGACUCCUACGUGAGGCAGCAGUGGGGAAUAUUGCACAAUGGGCGGAAGCCUGAUGCAGCCACGCCGCGUGCGGGAUGACGGCCUUCGGGUUGUAAACCGCUUUCGCCUGUGACGAAGCGUGAGUGACGGUAAUGGGUAAAGAAGCACCGGCUAACUACGUG
rnacentral:rRNA from 1 species